GUUUUUUUGCAGCUGCAAGGUUUCAUCCCCUUGUAACAUUUAGUUAUUUUGGCAAUAGCUAUGUUAGCUACAUUGCACAGCCUUUUAGCAUCCAUUAUGUUGCUUGAGAAUUUUACUCCAGUUCCUUCUGAAGCCUUCUGGUGAUUAUUACCAUCUAUGAUCUGAUAAGAUAUCUAGAAUUUUAAUUUUAAUAGCUCAUAUUAUGGUGAUUAUUACUUUCUAUGAUCUGAUAAACCUUCUGGUGAUAUCCUUAGAUAUUGAUUUAGAUUGGUGAAAUGCUUAUUCUUAAUAGCUCUAGAAAGUGGGACUGAGAUAAAGCAUUAAUACUGCCAAAUUUGGCAGAAUACUUGAGGAUUUAAUUCUUCAAACUGGAUCUUGUUCAUGAUCAAUGACAAUUAAUUUUCAGGAUGGUUAUGCCAAAGAGGAAUAUUGUGUCACAUCAAAGUAGUUGAAAUCUGGGAAACAUACUGAACUUUUUUGUAGUGUUUUGUAGUCCGAUUUGUAUAGGCAAAUACUUACUGAACUGCAUUCUCUUGUUAAUACUUCUUUUA
rnacentral:misc_RNA from 1 species